GACGCAUUCGGCAAGGGGCUAAGCCACACGACUUUCACUCGUGGAUCGGGGGUUCGAAUCCCCCAUGCGUCA
rnacentral:tRNA from 1 species